rnacentral:rRNA from 1 species
AUGAACGCUGGCGGCGUGCCUAAUACAUGCAAGUUGAGCGAACAGACGAGGAGCUUGCUCCUCUGACGUUAGCGGCGGACGGGUGAGUAACACGUGGAUAACCUACCUAUAAGACUGGGAUAACUUCGGGAAACCGGAGCUAAUACCGGAUAAUAUAUUGAACCGCAUGGUUCCAUAGUUAAAUACGGUUUUGCUGUCACUUAUAGAUGGAUCCGUGCCGCAUUAGCUAGUUGGUAAGGUAACGGCUUACCAAGGCAACGAUGCGUAGCCGACCUGAGAGGGUGAUCGGCCACACUGGAACUGAGACACGGUCCAGACUCCUACGGGAGGCAGCAGUAGGGAAUCUUCCGCAAAGGGCGAAAGCCUGACGGAGCAACGCCGCGUGAGUGAUGAAGGUCUUCGGAUCGUAAAACUCUGUUAUUAGGGAAGAACAAAUGUGUAAGUAACUAUGCACGUCUUGACGGUACCUAAUCAGAAAGCCACGGCUAACUACGUG